GGGUGAGUAAUGCUUAGGAAUCUGCCUAUUAGUGGGGGACAACAUUCCGAAAGGGAUGCUAAUACCGCAUACGCCCUACGGGGGAAAGCAGGGGAUCUUCGGACCUUGCGCUAAUAGAUGAGCCUAAGUCGGAUUAGCUAGUUGGUGGGGUAAAGGCCUACCAAGGCGACGAUCUGUAGCGGGUCUGAGAGGAUGAUCCGCCACACUGGGACUGAGACACGGCCCAGACUCCUACGGGAGGCAGCAGUGGGGAAUAUUGGACAAUGGGGGGAACCCUGAUCCAGCCAUGCCGCGUGUGUGAAGAAGGCCUUUUGGUUGUAAAGCACUUUAAGCGAGGAGGAGGCGCUCUAGGCUAAUACCCUAGAUGCGUGGACGUUACUCGCAGAAUAAGCACCGGCUAACUCUGUGCCAGCAGCCGCGGUAAUACAGAGGGUGCGAGCGUUAAUCGGAUUUACUGGGCGUAAAGCGCGCGUAGGUGGCUAAUUAAGUCAAAUGUGAAAUCCCCGAGCUUAACUUGGGAAUUGCAUUCGAUACUGGUUAGCUAGAGUAUGGGAGAGGAUGGUAGAAUUCCAGGUGUAGCGGUGAAAUGCGUAGAGAUCUGGAGGAAUACCGAUGGCGAAGGCAGCCAUCUGGCCUAAUACUGACACUGAGGUGCGAAAGCAUGGGGAGCAAACAGGAUUAGAUACCCUGGUAGUCCAUGCCGUAAACGAUGUCUACUAGCCGUUGGGGCCUUUGAGGCUUUAGUGGCGCAGCUAACGCGAUAAGUAGACCGCCUGGGGAGUACGGUCGCAAGACUAAAACUCAAAUGAAUUGA
rnacentral:rRNA from 1 species